rnacentral:lncRNA from 1 species
CGGAUGCAGAGGCAACAGAGGUAGGGAGAGGGCCAAUGGCUGAUGAUGAUGCGAUGUGCUCAACCCAUGCUGAAGUUUCAGAGCUGCGUGGGUUACAACAGGAGAAAAUCAGACGUCUUUGCAACGGAGGCUGAUGCAUUUUUAGAAGCCAGAAGAGAGAAGACUUACUAGAUGGUUUUCAGUUUUGGUCAUUGAUCCUGACAUAAUAGAAUGUGACCUACGUAGAGAAGACAAAACGCAGAAAUACAACACAACCAAAGAAUACAUGCUGGAAAAGGGAUCACUGAAGAAAAACGGAUAGGAAGUAUAUCUCAUAUUUUUGUGUGUGCAGGCAUACCUCGGAGAUGUUGUGGGUUUGGUACCUGACUGCUGCAAUAAAGCUAAUAUCACAAUAAA